rnacentral:rRNA from 1 species
UACGAAGGGACCUAGCGUAGUUCGGAAUUACUGGGCUUAAAGAGUUCGUAGGUGGUUGAAAAAGUUAGUGGUGAAAUCCCAGAGCUUAACUCUGGAACUGCCAUUAAAACUUUUCAGCUAGAGUAUGAUAGAGGAAAGCAGAAUUUCUAGUGUAGAGGUGAAAUUCGUAGAUAUUAGAAAGAAUACCAAUUGCGAAGGCAGCUUUCUGGAUCAUUACUGACACUGAGGAACGAAAGCAUGGGUAGCGAAGAGGAUUAGAUACCCUCGUAGUCCAUGCCGUAAACGAUGUGUGUUAGACGUUGGAAAUUUAUUUUCAGUGUCACAGGGAAACCGAUAAACACACCGCCUGGGGAGUACGACCGCAAGGUUAAAACUCAAAUGAAUUGACGGGGACCCGCACAAGUAGUGGAGCAUGUGGUUUAAUUCUAAGAUACGCGCAGAACCUUACCAACACUUGACAUGUUUGUCGCGACUCUAAGAGAUUAGAGUUUUCGUUUCGGCCGGACGAAACACAGGUUCUGCAUGGGUGUCGUCAGCUCGUGUCGUGAGAUGUUGGGUUAAGUCCCGCAACGAGCGCAACCCUCACUUUUAGUUGCCAUCAUUUAGUUGGGCACUCUGAAAGAACUGCCAGUCAUAAUCUGGAGGAAGGUGGGGAUGACUUCAAGUCAUCAUGGCCCGUACGCGUUGGGUUACACACGUGCUACAAUGGUAUCUACACCAGGAACCAAGACUGCGAAGAUAAGCAAAUCCCUAAAAGAUACCUCAGUUCGGAUUGCACUCUGCAACUCGAGUGCAUGAAGUUGGAAUUACUAGUAAUCGUGGAUCAGCGUGCCACGGUGAAUGCGUUCCCGGGUCU